AAAUUGGUUUUACACUGAGGACAUAUUACCUGGUUGACUUAGAAUGUGAGAAUUUAGACUCCUUAAAGGCAGAUUCUUAUACAGAACAGUGGGAUUUCUCAUAUAAAAUCCCUACAUCUUAAUGUUGUUGUUAUAUCACUCCUUUUCUCAAAUACUGGAAUGAUGUGUGAAAGUAUUUGUUAUGUGACUUAUUAAGUUUUCCUUCUCCAGAAGGUGGGGGGGGGAAGGUACUUUUUACUGUUCUUCUAUUUUAAAACUAAUUUAGGAUAAAAAAAACCCCUUACAAUAUGGAAACAAUUUAUGUUGAACAGGUAACACUGAUAUUUAAUAUGAAAUUGAAAAGUAUUUUUAUAUAAGGCAUGACAGUUGUGGAAACUCAUAUGAAUCUUUGUCAUGGACUUAAUCUUUACUGUGAGAACACCUGAAUGCAUUACAUGUCACCCUGUAACUUCUCAUGUGUGAGACUGAUGAUGCUGAGCUUUUGUUAAAAUUAAAAUAUUUUUGGACAAGCGG